GAAGCAGCAAACUUCCCAAGGAAGAAAAAAAAGAAGAAAUUUACUUAAAAUCUCAAGAAUGAGAGGGGAGCAUUCUUCUUUAGCACAGUCCAAUCCCUGGAUGGUGGCGGGCAAAGGCAGGGGAUGAGGCAACAACGAGUAUCUACUACGGGGCUUUUGGGGGAACAGUCAGACAUCUAUUAAACUCAUUCUCACACCUGAGGCCUAAAUUUGAGGCGGAGGAUGCUUGCUCCCUCCUCCUGGGUCUAUUCUGCCCACCCUACAGGUUGCAUGAUUGGGAGGUGCUGAAGAAGAAAAGAAGGGAUGACAAAGGAGAAGAAAAGGAACAAGCAUGAAGGGGACUAUUACAAGCAAUACUACACCUGGAUCUCUAUCCAUGAGAGGCCUGCCUUCAAUAAGCUACUUAAAUGGAGGAAGUGGAGCUUUUGCCAUCACUGUAUGAGGAUGAGUUUCCCUCAGAAUUCCAGGACCAAAGGGCUUUUUAAAUGUGGCUGGACUUACAAACUGCCCUUGGAAAUGCAGAGAAGAUGGGGCUAGAGGGAUCUGUCUAUAGAGACCUGCUGGGUACACUUGGGACAAGCAUGCUGUCAUGCGCCUGCGGGGCCGCAAGCUCUCCCAGAACCUGACGCUACAUGAGGGUCCCAAGGAGUGAUGGAGAUGCAGGAAGGCCAAGGCAUCUGCCAGGGGCAUGGGGGGUAGGGGUUAUAUUCACCACUUGAGUUUUGAGAACUGCUGUUCGUUUCUUCAAAGUUGUUUUGUGCUUUGCUCUCGACUCUCCUACUGAAGGCGCUUUCUGCUGGGUAGGGAGAGAGAAAGGAGAGAAAGAGAGAAAGAGAGAAAGAGAGAGAAAGAGAAAGAGAGAGAGAGAGAGAGAGAGAGAGAGAGAGAGAGAGAGAGAGAGAGAGAGAGAGAGAGAGAGAGAGAGAGAGAGAGAGAGAAGAUGCUGAGAAAGUCGCUUCAUGCCCCUUAAAGUCCCAGAGUGGUAGUAAAGCCUUGGAAUAUGGACAGAGAGUGGGAAGGGCAUGGAAUCAAUUAAAUCACCACUGGUCUGCAGAACAGUUCUUUAGCAGUCCCUCAACAAGAUGGCAGCUGGGGAGCAGAAAUGCAAUGAGACAAUCUAUCUUGUGCCCAUUUUCCAGGUGGCCAGGCCUCAGCAGUAGUAGACCAAUCAGAGAGGACUCAAUAUAGAUUUUGAAUCUCAGAGGCAGACGAGUGUAUUAGAUUUGGAGUCAAAAGGAUUAGAUUCAAAUCCCACACCUCUGUUCAUUAUUAGCUAGGGAACUUCAGUACAUCAGUUAACUUCUCUUACUCAUCUGUAAAAUGAGGGGAUUAAACAGAGGGACCCAAAGAUUUCUUCCUGUUUUAGACUCUUGAUUCUAUGAAACAAAAUUAGUUGAUAUGAAAAGAACAUCAGACUACAGAUGAUAAGACCUAGGAUUCUCAUCCCAGUCCUGCCACUUGGUAGCUAGGUGACCUAAGAGAACUCCCCCAAAUCCAAAUAGCUCAGUUUCCUCACAUGUAAAAUGGGGGGGGCAGGGGGAAAGAGAAAUAACCUGCCAUGCCUAAAUUGAAAAUAUUUUGAUAUUGUAAAGUAUAAAAUACUUUUUCAAAUGGUGACUUAUUCCAUAACAAAAAUCAUCCUCUAACACACACACACACACACACACACACACCAGAAGAGCUGGAAAGGAGCUGUAAUUCUUCCCGAGACCACCCACAGAGAGAGGCUCAGAGAAGCCCCAGGUAUUCUGGCUCUCAGGCCAGGACGCUUUCCUGGGAUUCCCCCAGCUCUUCUGGAAGGGACAUUCCAAAGAGGAAUAUGGAUUCAGUUGUUUCAGACUGGAAAAAUUUGAAAGGUAGCAGUGGAAGAGGGGGGAUGGAAUGAGAAAGAAGGAAGGGGAAUUGUCAGGGGUCACACAGCUCUUCAACACUGGCUUAGAAACUUGACUAAGCAUUUCAAGGACUAAGCUGAGAGGGCUGUUGGGCUUGACUCACUGGGAGAGAGGGGGGAAUGAUAGAUCCAUAAUAGCUACGGAAUUACUGACUGCAUCAGCCAAAGUUACUCCACUAGUUACCUCAUGGAACAAAAGGGAGUUUUCCUCUUGAAUAAGGGAAGGAGUAGGAGGUGGAGGUGGCUGUAUCCCCCUACAAGGUUUAUUUAUCAGUCACAGAACUUAGCCAACAUUUCUUAAUUCCUGUCCCAAUCCAACUCUAGUUGUCAAAGCAUAAUACAGCCCAUUCUGAGUGAGAAGAGAACCAAAGAAUGCCAACACUGGAAAAGACCUUGAAUAUCAUCUUAUCCAACCCCUUCGUCUUACUGAUGAGGAAGUCCCAGAGGCAGCUAGGUGACACAAUGGACAGAGCACUAGACCUAGACACAGAAGACCCAAUCGUAUCUUGCCUCCAACACUUAGCUGUGUGAGCUUGGACAAGUCACUUCACCUGCCUGCCUCAGUUCCUCCACUAUAAAGUGGGGAUAAUAACAGUACCUAUCCUCUAGGCUUGUGAGGACUCAAUGAAAUGAUAUUUGUAAAGCACCUAACAAUGCCGGGCACAUGGUAGGCAAUUAACAAAUGACUGUUCCUACCUUCCUCCCCACCAACUCCCUUCAUCUUAAAGGUGAGGAAGUAUAAAUACCCCUGUCCAUCAAAGCAAUCAACAAGAACCUACAUCCCAAGGCACCAUGCUACAACCCCCUCUCCCCUCCCUAGAGACCCCUUUGCAAUGGGACCCACAUGGAAAUGUUCUUUAUUAGAUCUGUUCAUAAAGGUCUUCUGUCUAUGAAUGAUACAGAAUACAAUGGAGGACAGGAUACAGUGAGACUUUGCAUAAAAUUGUUUGGGGAGAAGGUAGAGUAGAAGCCCAAUUGGGGGGGGACCCAUUCUCUGUCAUAACUUCUGUGAUACCAGGAUUAGCUGCAAUCAUUCUCUCUGCAUGGGAUCAGAGUGGAGGGGUAUAGUGGUGCCUGAUACACAAAGGAAAAAGUCAAUGGCAAAUUUUGAUUGAAUGAAUAUCUUAUUCUUACUGCCUCAUUAAUGAAGUGAACCUAGAAUGAUUAUGUAGGUAAAGAAUAAAACUGACUCCAAAAUAAAAAGAUGGUUAUGGAAGCCAAAUGGUAAUCAAAGGGUUAAAAAUCGUCUAUAAUUCCAUUCUGACCAAAGUUAGGGAAGAGAGAGUUAAAACAUCAACUGAUUAAACAGAUCCCCCUAUGAUAUACAAAUCCCUCUGCCCAGCCUUGCAGUCAAAUGAACCACCACCUUUCAGAUAAAAUAUCUGAAUUUCCCUUCCCAAGGAUACAAUCCUCUCCAACCCAUCCCAUAGGAAAGCUGACAAUGCAUACAAUUCAAUCCACAUUAGCUGGUCAUGUUAUAGCUGACUACCAAAUUCCCACCUCUGAUCUGCCAUAAGCCAUUAUUUUAACCAAAGUUUCCUUUUUCAAAAAUAAUGACAUUAUUGCUAGAGAGCAUACACAGUCUCUGAGUGACCUUCACCUAAAGAAGUGGAGAAUCCUUAGAUUCCCAAUAUCAGAAAUGUAUCUUUUAAGCUGUGUUUAUGGUGCCAGCACACAGCAGGAGACUAAUAAAUGCUUGCUGUAUGAGCAAAUUUACAUAAUGGAUAUCACUGAACCAUCAGCAAUGGUCAAACUAUGAGCUACUUUCUCUUUUCAGAAUUCUGUUUAUAAUAACCAUUUAUGUCAGUUUUGGUGAAAAUAUAACACAACAGCCACUGUGUUUUCACAAUUGCCAGGAGCCUAGAAUAAUUACUAACCUAAUGGUUUAUUAAACUGCUGUUCUCAUUAAAGACUCUGAGCAGGCACAUCAAAAGGAUGUUCUUUUUGAAAAACAACCUUGGGAAUCAAAGUGUAAACACAAGCACAUUUUAUUACUUUGCCACUUAUCAAGCACAGUUUGGAUGGUCAAUGAGCCCCUGAGGAGCUCUGGAACUAUCAGUCUAAAAAGGAGAUCAUUAGGUUGAAAACUUGACAUGUCAGCACAAGGCCUUUCUCCCAACUGGCUAAUCUUUCAUCAACUUUUAUCAAACACAAUAAACAAUAAUUUUCAUUAUGAUUCUAAGUUUUGUCCCUUAGCUUAGGACACCGGGUUUUAAACCAGAUUUGUUGUCGCCCUUAUAGUUAGUCUUGUCUUAUCGAGGAUUUUCCUCAGGAAAUAGAUGUGACUGGGGGCAGUUGGUCUCUUUAUUGGCUGUUCACAAUGUCGGAGACUUCACUUCCAUUCCCUUUUGCCAUAGGUAGAAAUGGGAUUCGAUCUAUGACUGGGAUGGAUGGAGAGAAAGGCAGAGAUCACUUCAAAGGUGGAAAGCCCACCCAACAGUUAAGAAAGCUGAGGGCACAAAGGCCAUUGGUACCUGUGGU